rnacentral:rRNA from 1 species
UACGUAGGGGCAAGCGUUGUCCGGAAUCAUUGGGCGUAAAGAGCGUGUAGGCGGCUCGGUAAGUCCGCUGUGAAAGUCCAGGGCUCAACCCUGGGAUGCCGGUGGAUACUGUCGGGCUCGAGUCCGGAAGAGGAGUGUGGAAUUCCUGGUGUAGCGGUGAAAUGCGCAGAUAUCAGGAGGAACACCAAUGGCGAAGGCAGCACUCUGGGACGUGACUGACGCUGAGACGCGAAAGCGUGGGAGCAAACAGG